rnacentral:rRNA from 1 species
CCUACGGGCGGCAGCAGUCGAGAAUCAUUCACAAUGGGGGAAACCCUGAUGGUGCGACGCCGCGUGGGGGAAUGAAGGUCUUCGGAUUGUAAACCCCUGUCAUGUGGGAGCAAAUUAAAAAGAUAGUACCACAAGAGGAAGAGACGGCUAACUCUGUGCCAGCAGCCGCGGUAAUACAGAGGUCUCAAGCGUUGUUCGGAAUCACGGGGCGUAACGCGUGCGUAGGCUGUUUCGUAAGUCGUGUGUGAAAGGCGCGGGCUCAACCCGCGGACGGCACAUGAUACUGGGAGACUAGAGUAAUGGAGGGGGAACCGGAAUUCUCGGUGUAGCAGUGAAAUGCGUAGAUAUCGAGAGGAACACUCGUGGCGAAGGCGGGUUCCUGGACAUUAACUGACGCUGAGGCACGAAGGCCAGGGGAGCGAAAGGGAUUAGAUACCCGUGUAGUC